UGCAAGCAGAGGCGCGGC
rnacentral:misc_RNA from 1 species